AAAUGUACUAGGUAUUUAAAGCCCAUAAAAUAUAACUUGCUACAAGCUCAAACCCAAAGUAGAACCUAGGACCCAUAUGUACCACAACGGAUUCCUAGAGGCCGGCGGGCAAGACCCGAAAACACAAACUCCACUGUUGUAGCAGAGAUGCUGGUUGCUAAGAACAACUUCAGAAAGAAUAUUGAACAAAAGCACUCAAAGCAUUAAGGGGUAGAAGCAAACACUUCUUCCCAAAGCAGUUGAUCAACCCAAUGCAGCACUAUCACCCCUUGGUAACAGGAUCAAGAAACAUGCAGCAACCACACAAACACCCUGGCUAAGAACUAGUGCCAGAAUAAGUUCGAGAAACGGCUUGACUUGACACGAGCUUCUCAAUCUGGUAUAGCCCAGACAGAUCUGAAGUCGAUAACCACAGAUGGUUAAUUUCAAUAUUGUCAAAAAGCCAACCAAAGGGACAAAAACCCCAUAAACAGAGGCUGAGAAGAUCAGCCGAUCUACCAUGAAA
rnacentral:misc_RNA from 1 species